GGAGAUCCUGGAGAGCCAGGAGCAAAAGGUUUACGUGGGAAGCAGGGUGUGAAAGGAGACAAGGGAGAGCCAGGAAAAGAUGGUCUCGCAGGUUUGCCUGGUCCCAUUGGCAUCGAUGGGGUACCAGGAUUUCCAGGUCAGAAAGGAGAUAAGGUAAAAGUGCUCGAAGUCAAGAGAUUAUAACAUUUGCUCUUGACAGCCUUUCUACUAACAUUACAUAACUAUGCAAGUAUAAAUAAGAUUUGAGCUGUUUUUUCAGGGUGACGAAGGAAUUGGCAUACAAGGUAUUCAAGGCCCUCGCGGAGAGCCUGGAGAGAAGGUAAAACACAAACAGUUUAUUCAUAAAAAGCAAAGCUUGAUUUCAAAGCAUCAGGAUGUGAGGCUGUGAUGCCUUCAAGACAUGAAUUUUGGAAAUGUUCCACUGGCAGUAAAUCAUAGACUAAAUUUGUAGUUGUUUUUAUGUAUCCACAGCUACAUGAGCACAGCACUCUGAAUUAGUAAAGACACCACUAUUACAGAUGCAUCAGUAUAAAAUGGCCAUUUUUGUUUUACAGGG
rnacentral:lncRNA from 1 species